AUGGAUUUAAAAUUCCUCUUCUAAGGCUGCUGGAUACACACCUGUAGGAUAGAAGCAUCACACUGGCUGAUGAGGGAUCUGUGGAGGUUAAGUGAAGAAAGGAUUCUGGUGUUUGUCUUUACCUGCUUUUCUAGAGUGUUCUGUGGAAAACAAUGUCCUUUCUGCACCAAAAGAUGAACUAGCAAGAAGUGCAGCCAGAAAACAAACCACGUACUCUUUCCGUUGACAUUGUCUUUAUGUUGACCCAGAAACAUGAAAAUGAAGAUGAUAACGGUACCUACUACAAGUGAUGACUGCGACAGUGUCACAGAAUACACUGGCAGAGUUCUCAGCCCAGGAUCCAGCAUGAAGCAAGCCCCUAGUGACCAUCAGUCACUACCCCAGCCAUGAAAAACAGAACGACUUGCUGUUUGCCCUGU